rnacentral:rRNA from 1 species
UACGAAGGGUGCAAACGUUGCUCGGAAUUAUUGGGCGUAAAGCGCACGUAGGCGGCUUUGCAAGUCGGAUGUGAAAUCCCUCGGCUUAACCAAGGAAGUGCAUCCGAAACUGCAGAGCUUGAGUACUUAAGAGGAUCGCGGAAUUCCCGGUGUAGCAGUGAAAUGCGUAGAGAUCGGGAGGAACACCAGUGGCGAAGGCGGCUACCUGGACCAGCACUGACACUGAGGCACGAAAGCGUGGGGAGCAAACAGG